GGAGCCGCCGGGCUGACCGACUGGCGGGAGUCAGCCUGGGGCCCCUCCCCAGACUCCACGGCUGGGCUCCCUGAGCCUUGGGCCCCUCCACGGUGAAGCAGGAUGGUUGUGAGCAUUCCAGGCUGAUUCAUCUAAUGGGAAUUUGAAUGCUGGUGGAAAACUGUACAGAAAAUCCAGGGUCACCCCAAGUAGAGUUGCAGUGUGACAGUAGCUCUUCUUGGCUUGCACUCUUACGCUGAGCCAGCUCAUCCAGGAACGAAGGUUGGCCUUUCUCCUCUUCCGUCAGCUGGCCAUAACAGACACCCCCAUGCAGCCGUAGUCGUGAGCUAGUUGUGACCCCGUAGCCGUGAAUGCCGGAGCAGUAGUGGUGGACGACGCGGAGUUGUGGGCCAACAACUGGAAAAGCCUACGUGUGCCCUCUGGCCCUCCUGCUCAUGCGUGGCCCUGCGUCUUCCACUCCCACUUUAUGACGGAUUCUUGCUGCUGGGCCUGGCAGAACCCAGCUCAUGAUGAUCUCUGCUUGCAGAGUUACUUGAUGUCCCGUGGUCAUUUGGUCUGUCUCAAUCAGGGCCAUUCAUCUAGAAGAACUUCUUUUCAAAUGCUGUAAAGUUCUUUGCUACAGAGGAUGUGUCCUUGCUCCAAAGUCCCGGGACCCUAUGCUGCACUUCUUCUGGGAUUACCAGUAACCGUGCACACUUUCCCACCACAGGUCCCUCUAAUAUCACGGGGCCUGCUGAGUGAUGGGGCAGGUCUCCUUGCACCGGGGCCUCGACCUGCUGCAGUGCUCUGUCACCCAGUAAAAGGGCCGGGGCAGUAUUUUGAAAUGCGGGGGGAAAUAGCUACUGAGUAGACUUAGUGAGGUAUUUCAGGUUCCAUCCUCAUAGCGACCAGCCUGUCCUCUGUCAGUUGGUUCCUGAUCUGAGAAACUGGGUAAGUGUCUGUGACCAAGCUGCCCUAAGCCUACUGACCAUCCUUUUUGUUUUUGUUUUUUUUUCUAUCUAUCUUUAUUUUACAAAUUGAUACUUUUUAUUGACUGCCUCUGGAAACACUGAGUUCUGUUAACUGUGCUGAUGUCUAUGCAUGGGAUCCCUGGUUGCCAUUCCAGUUUUGCAACCCCUUGCGAUAAUUGCACACACCUUGCUUCUGACGGUUAAGUAUUCACCUGGCCUCUGUUAUUUCGGGAUCCCAUCAUCCCUGUUGAGGAGCACAGUUUUAUAACAGAGUCUUCACCAGUCAACCGUGGCAUAUGGAAGAGCAUUACCACUGAGAUUCUCGCGGGUUGUGACCCUCUUAACAACGCAUGUCUUACCAGUAUGGUAAAUGGCGUGUCCUCUGGGCUUCUCUUAGGACAGAGUCAGCUGGUGGGUUUUCCAGCCCUGUAUAGGUACACCCUCUGACACGCCCACCCCGAGGCAUUUGGUAUCUUCGGCCGUGGCCAGUGCAACAUUUCUACUUCACUUGGUAUGUGAUGUUGCUUUCUCCGAGCUUCCAAGAGCCGUGCUAGCACUUAGGAUCUUUGCCAGGGAGAUAAAUCCUGUAUUCUGGGAGAGUAUUCUCAUUACCAACAAACUCUCCCUCACCCAACGGUAGUCGGUCUUCUUCAUGAUUGUACUGCUAGGUAUGAAAAUGAGCCACGUUUUUGCCUUUGGUGUACAAAAAGGUCCUACAAUGAUCCCUUCGAUAAAGGCUAUUUGGUUAGGAGUCACCCAUUAUAUCCCAGCCCAGGUUCCGGGAUGAAGAAAGGGGAACAGAGCCCCAGCAGGGUUGCUUUCCAGAGGUCUGCCAUAUUGCAAUAACAAUAUAAUACUCUGGAUCCAAUUUUUAAAAUCAAGAUUAAAAUGCUAUAUGGGUUGGGGCACCGGGAUGGCUCAGUCGGUUGAGCAUCUGACUUCGGCUCAGGUCAUGAUCUCACCGUUUGUGAGU